AUUCAUCUGCAAACCUCCUUGAUACAUUAUUUGUUGAUGGCUGAUGGAAAAUGUGAUUCCCCGACGGUAAUGAUAAUUUGUCUUUGAGAUCGAAGGUUGAGGGCUUUAAUGCAUCAGUUGCAACAGAAGAGAAGCAACACCUUGUCUAUGUAACAUUUCAAACGAAAUCAUCAGGGGGAAGGCAGCUACUGAGAUCAGGUGUUUAUAUUGUAAUUUAUAGUGGAGUUUGA
rnacentral:lncRNA from 1 species